rnacentral:rRNA from 1 species
GUACCCGCUGAACUUAAGCAUAUCAAUAAGCGGAGGAAAAGAAACCAACAGGGAUUGCCCUAGUAACGGCGAGUGAAGCGGCAACAGCUCAAAUUUGAAAUCUGGCUCACGCCCGAGUUGUAAUUUGUAGAGGAUGCUUUUGGUGCGGUGCCUUCUGAGUUCCCUGGAACGGGACGCCAGAGAGGGUGAGAGCCCCGUAUAGUUGGACACCAAGCCUCUGUAAAGCUCCUUCGACGAGUCGAGUAGUUUGGGAAUGCUGCUCAAAAUGGGAGGUAAAUUUCUUCUAAAGCUAAAUACCGGCCAGAGACCGAUAGCGUACAAGUAGAGUGAUCGAAAGAUGAAAAGCACUUUGAAAAGAGGGUUAAACAGCACGUGAAAUUGUUGAAAGGGAAGCGCUUGUGACCAGACUUGCGCCUUGCGAAUCAUCCAGCGUUCUCGCUGGUGCACUUCGCUUGGCUCAGGCCAGCAUCGGUUUUCCCAGGGGGAUAAAGGCGUCGGGAACGUAGCUCUCUACGGGGAGUGUUAUAGCCCGGCGUACAAUAUCCUUGGGGGGACCGAGGUUCGCGCUCUGCAAGGAUGCUGGCGUAAUGGUCAUCAGCGACCCGUCUUGAAACACGGACCAAGGAGUCAAGCAUUAGGGCGAGUGUUUGGGUGUUAAACCCGCACGCGAAAUGAAAGUGAACGCAGGUGAGAGCUUCGGCGCAUCAUCGACCGAUCCUGAUGUAUUCGGAUGGAUUUGAGUAAGAGCCUUACCGCUUGGACCCGAAAGAUGGUGAACUAUGCUUGUAUAGGGUGAAGCCAGAGGAAACUCUGGUGGAGGCUCGCAGCGGUUCUGACGUGCAAAUCGAUCGUCAAAUAUGAGCAUGGGGGCGAAAGACUAAUCGAACCAUCUAGUAGCUGGUUACCGCCGAAGUUUCCCUCAGGAUAGCAGUGUUGUCUUCAGUUUUAUGAGGUAAAGCGAAUGAUUAGGGACUCGGGGGCGCUAUUUAGCCUUCAUCCAUUCUCAAACUUUAAAUAUGUAAGAAGCCCUUGUUACUUAAUUGAACGUGGGCAUUCGAAUGUACCAACACUAGUGGGCCAUUUUUGGUAAGCAGAACUGGCG